rnacentral:rRNA from 1 species
CUCAAAUCAGGUAGGACUACCCGCUGAACUUAAGCAUAUCAAUAAGCGGAGGAAAAGAAACUAACAAGGAUUCCCCUAGUAACUGCGAGUGAAGCGGGAAAAGCUCAAAUUUAAAAUCUGGCGGUCUUUUGGCUGUCCGAGUUGUAAUCUANAGAANUGUUAUCCGCGCUGGAC